CCCUCAAGCUUCGAGGCUGCUCGAGAAAAAAAAAUGCCCUAUGCACGCCCGCAAGCCCGCUCGCGCCGCCUCGGCUGCCAUGCACGUUCACCCUUGGCGGCUUUUAAGGCACCACCCGCCGGGCGCUUGCUGUUCCCUAUGCCGCGUCGCCUCUCUUUCCGCUCGGGGCGCUGCCCGCCAAGCUGCAGGGGGAGAAGAGGAGGAAAGCAAUGAGAAACCAGAGGGAGGAGACGUACCAGUACUUCGCCGCCUCCGAGAUGGGUAAGGAUUCCGUUGCCGAUGAGUAAACAAAGGGGAAGGGUCAGGCCAUGGAUGCAGGCCCACUCGCUGCUGCGUGCCAAGGCCCUGGUAUUCAAUCUCAUCAACAACUUCUUGCUGGAGCCUGGAGGACAAUGUGGUUGCCCUAUCUGGUUCGCUCGCCUCGCAUUGCCGUGGCAAUAUCAUCUUUCAUAUUCAGGCCUGCUCUUUCAGAUUCAGACAUGCACCAUGACCGAUUUGCUUUCCUAUAACUUUCUUGUUUCUAUCAAGAUGCAGACCAUCAAAUUAGCUUGCUGGAUUUCAAUUAAUGAUUAUUUGUUUGAGUUUGCCUUGUUGGAUUAUGAUUUUGAAAUAGAUUUUUUGGGCACUGAAAUAAUCAAAUGAACUUGCAAGUUAUAGAAAAAUUUUGCUCAUUUCUUUUCAUGUACAUCUGCGCAGGCUGCGCCAUGGCUUCUGGGAGUGAUGAUUUGCACCAGUGCCCCCAACCAGACCAGAUACUCGGGGUGUCGUUCUUCAUGAAAUCUGAGACCGAAGAGAUGAAUUUCUCAGAGAAAUUUGAUGUCGAGUUAAACGAGCCCUACCUGGUGUUCAAGGUAUGCAACACUUCUUCAGUCCUAUUAAAUGAGCCCUGCCUAUUUUUUAUAUGUUGAUUGUUGAAUAAGAUGAGUACUAUAUAAAACUGAUUUCUUCCAUUGGGCACUUCCAAAAAUAAAUGAAGUACCGUAAAGUUUUGUUUCUUCCUAUAUAAAUAGUUUUAGCCAUGGGCAGAAAGCAGGAUGGGUCCUUGCUUCAACAAUUGCUCGAGCCCCCUAGUUGUGAAAUACUAAGUUGACAGCAGGAAGGCUUAUUAAGAUGCUCAUAAUGUGCUUAAGAUUUAAUUUCUCAUAUCGUGUCUGCUUGUAUAAAUAGUAUUGACCUAAUCUUCAUGUACCAAUUCCUCAGCUUUGUGGAAUAAGCUAUGCUGAGAUGAUGCUCUCCAUCCUCCUGAUGGAUUGGAAGUCUUCGAAUGUCAUGGGAAAUAAUGCUGCAAGGAAAAUGGCAGAUUGAUGGUGGCCUGCAAAUACAUUUUUCUCUUACAAUGGCUUUGGAUCAGGAGGCUGAGGUGGUGGCGAUUAUUUCUUUUCCCCUGAUAAGCACUAGCAAGCAGCGCUCCUUUUGUUUCGGCUAUUCUCAUGCCUAAAAAAUAACAAACUUACUUUCAGAAAACUAAUCAGUGGACAAAUUAAUUUGUGAUGGCUUUCAGAUACUGUUUACUAUUUUAUGGGAACUAGAUACUUGAAUGAGAAGUAAUAAAUCACGUCGUCUCCUGAACUACCAUAUGUUCAGGUGCCAUAGAGAAGAGCUACACGUAUUUAGGUGCUCAUGGGUUGGUGCAGAAGAUUGAAGCUACAAGCAUGCUACUACUGAGGAUCAUGCCUCAGGUGUCACAAAAUCUUGUGUCCGUCACUUAAAUUCAUUGGUUGAAAAAUCGGAUGCUGGCAACCGAAUUGCCCAAUAGUCUUUUUUUUAUUGACGAUGAUUUGUACUGUUUAAUGUAUAGUGCAUUUCUCCAUUGCUACAUGUGGUUAAAAAUAUUUCAUAUGAUAAAGAUCCAUGCUUAUAGAUGAAUUU